rnacentral:lncRNA from 1 species
AAUACUUUUCCACACGAUUUUAUUUUUGGGUUCGUUUCGAACUCCAUUCAAACUAAUUUGUCUUUGUUUGCGAUCAUGGGGUUUGGAUGUAGGCCCAUUAAGAACGGGCCUUAGGUCUUAGGCCCAUUACAUCUUGUAUUAUUGAGGUGCACCAAAUCUUAUGACUAAUCAACGUAAUAGAUCCAUCCAUAUGGCAAGGUGAAUUGAAAUCCACAACUUUAUUGAAAAAUACACAUACCCUCCCUCACUCGUCUCACAUAUCACAAAACAGAUUAUUACUCCAAAAUCCUAAUCAACGAAUUAAACCUGUUUUUUAAGACUAUCAUCAUCAUCAUCAUCGUCAUCUGAACACUCAUCUUGAAGAAUGACUGCGGAUCCCUUGUUGACAUCAAGCCAUUUCUUC